GAUUAGAAUUUUGUUAAAUGUCGAUCUACCUUUGUACACGAUAUACACAUUAUAAUGCGAUUUCAAGUCGAGAUUAAUUCGUUAUUAAGUACAUAAUGUGUAAAGUAGUUAACUCGAAGGUAUAAUCACUAUGCAAAACUAAAUUAAUUUCGUCAUUUCGAAGAGGUGCAUUUACGUUACAUUCGAGAAGCUUGCCUGUGUAAGGAAAUUCGCCUUAUUUUAUCUGCGUUGUGCCGAGUGCGUGCGUGCGUUCGUACAUUCGUCGUUGUCGAAUCGUGAAAACGUGUUAAUUAUUGCUCUCGGUCUCGUGGUUUAUUGUGUAGUUGUGGAUUGUGGGUCUAUUAGUUGAGUUGAUCGACAUUACGAGAUACAUUUUGCCUUUACUCGUGUCUGUAGUCUGUAUGUGUGGUGAAAUAUCAUCAGGUGUAGUGUUAUUCCCUGUGAGAUAGCAAUGUCUUACAUGUGUAAGAUUGUUAGACGUUAAUGAAUGAUGCGAAGAUUCGUAUGGAAUCGUUGAUCGAAGCUGUGAAAGAAACGAAUACGAAAGAAACCAUCGAGGAAAAUGGAAGCCUGACUGAAUUACGAGACAAUAUACCUAAGAUUUUCUCAUAAUGAUGAGAACAUCAGUCUCGAGCUGGAAAAGAAACGCCUGACGUACGCAUAAAAAACCUCAUACGUAGGUAUUUAAAGGUAUUAUGGUAGUAAAAAAAAGAUUUGACUCAGGUUUAACAAUGGUCUGGAUUAUGGAGUCACUGGUAUUAGGGUAAUUUUUUUCUGUAUCAGAAGACAAAUAAACUUUUUUUUGUUUUGUUA